ensembl:lncRNA
GCGGGGUACAUUUUUACAGUUGAAGCUGCUUUACUCAACUCUGCCUCACAACUAAAGAGUUAAGUUAGCUUCUCAGCUAGUUCUAAAAAGCUUUGGUGUUAUUGGCCGUAGCCUAUUUAGCAAGCUCGAAUCCGCAUGUCACGAUUUAUAUCAGAAAUUGACUUCGCCAAACAAACCCAAGAGAGGAAAAAGAGCAAUGAGCAGCAUCAAACUACCAAGCCCAGCAGUGAUGAUGUUGCCGAGCUCCAGCUAGCUCCGCGUGCAGAGCCUACCCACCCAGGAUAAUGGCUCCACAGCCCCGCUGACUGUUCCUGGCAAUCUUGGAACAGAGUAGCCAGCCCAGGAGCUGGGUAGGAUAUAGGUGCUGAAGUCAGGCUCAUUCAUGACCUGGAGCUGAUCUAUGCCAACAUGCCAAACAUCUCAGAAAAGACAAAAGAUGGAGGACAGAAGAGUCCUCUGACUGAAAGACAGGUUGUGUCACGCCCUGGUCUUAGUAUUUUGUGUUUUCUAUAUUUAUUUGGUCAGGCCAGGGUGUGACAUGGGUUUAUUUUGUGUUGUGUUUAUGUAUGGGGGUUUUUCGUAGGUUUUGGGAUUGUGGCUUAGUGGGGUGUUCUAGCAAAGUCUAUGGUUGCCUGAGGCGGUUCUCAAUCAGAGGCAGGUGAUUCUCGUUGUCUCUGAUUGGGAACCAUAUUUAGGCAGCCAUAUUCUUUGAGUGUUUCGUGGGUGAUUGUUCCUGUCUGUGUUUUUGUUAUUCACCAGAUAGGCUGUAUAGGUUUUCAUGGUCCGUUUCUUGUUUUUUUUUGUAUAUUCCUGUUUAUUCGUUUAUUAAACAUGAAUCUAAAUUACCACGCUGCAUUUUGGUCUGACUCUCCUUCGACGGAAGAAAACCGUAACAGGUUGAUACUGAUGUCUGAAUUGGGACAGACCUUGCACUCAGCAUUAAAAUGAUAAAAG